rnacentral:rRNA from 1 species
AGUUCGAUUCUGGCUCAGAUUGAACGCCGCGGGAUGCUUUACACAUGCAAGUCGAACGGCAGCAAUGGACUUCGGUCUGGUGGCGAGUGGCGAACGGGUGAGUAAUGCAUCGGAACGUGCCUAGUAGCGGGGGAUAACUACGGCGAAAGCGUAGCUAACACCGCAUACGCCCUUCGGGGGAAAGCGGGGGACCUUCGGGCCUCGCACUAUUAGAGCGGCCGAUAUCGGAUUAGCUAGUUGGUGGGGUACCACGUCGACCAAGGCGACGAUCCGUAGCUGGUUUGAGAGGACGACCAGCCACACUGGGACUGAGACACACGGCCCAGACUCUACGUGAGGCAGCAGUGGGGAAUUUUGGACAAUGGGGGAAACCUGAUCCAGCCAUCCUGGGCGUGUGCGAUGAAGGCCUUCGGGUUGUAAAGCACUUUUGGCAGGAAAGAAACGGGCACGGAGCAUAAUACCUCGUGCAACUGACGGUACCUGCAGAAUAAGCACCGGCUAACUACGCCAGCAGCCGCAGAACACAAAGCGUUAAUCGGAAUUACUGGGCGUAAAAGCGUGCGUGCAGGCGGUUCGAAAGAGAUGUGGAAACCCCAGAGCUUAACUUUGGAACUGCAUUUUUAACUACCGAGCUAUAGAGUGUGUCAGAGGAGGUGGAAUUCGCAGUGUAGCAGUGAAAUGCGUGAUAUGUGAGGAACACCGAUGGCGGCAGCCUCCUGGGAUAACACUGACGCUCAUGCACGAAAGUGUAGAGCAAAACAGAUUAGAUACUCCUGGUAGUCCACGCCCUAAACGAUGUCAACUAGCUGUUGGGGCCUUUCGGAACGGUAGCGCAGCUAACGCGUGAAGUUGACCGCCUGGGCAUGGUCGCAGAGAUUAAAACCCAAAGAAUUGACGGUAAUCACGCACAAGCGGUGGAUGAUGUGGAUUAAUUCGAUGCAACGCGAAAACCUUACCUACCCUGACAUGUCUGGAAUCCUGGAAGAUUUGGGAGUGCUGCAAGAGAACCGGAACACAGGUGCUGCAUGGCUGUCGUCAGUCAAGUCGAGAUGUUGGGUUAAGUCCCGCAACGAGCGCAACCUUUGCCAUUAGUUGCUACGAAAGGGCAUCAGAGAUUGCCGGUGACAAACCGGAGAAGGAUGACGCCGAGUCCUUUGGCCCUUAUGGGUAGGCUUCACACGUCAUACAAUGGUCGGGACAGAGGUCGCCAACCCGCGAGGGGGAGCCAAUCCCAGAAACCCGGAUCGUAGUCCGGAUCGCAGUUCAAUCGACUGCAGAAGUCGGAAUCAAAGAAAAUUCAUGGAUCAGUGCAUGUCGCGUGAAUACGUUCCCGGGUCUUGUACACACCGCCCGUCACACCAUGGGAGUGGGUUUACCAGAUGGUUAGCCUAACCGUAAGAGGCGAUUACUUUGUGAUUCAUGAUCAAAGAAGCCAACAAGGUAGCCCCAGCAUGCCACCGCGACGCUCCCA